AGAACGAACGCUGGCGGCAUGCCUAACACAUGCAAGUCGAACGAGACCUUCGGGUCUAGUGGCGCACGGGUGCGUAACGCGUGGGAAUCUGCCCUUGGGUUCGGGAUAACAGUUGGAAACGACUGCUAAUACCGGAUGAUGACUUCGGUCCAAAGAUUUAUCGCCCAGGGAUGAGCCCGCGUAGGAUUAGCUAGUUGGUGAGGUAAAGGCUCACCAAGGCGACGAUCCUUAGCUGGUCUGAGAGGAUGAUCAGCCACACUGGGACUGAGACACGGCCCAGACUCCUACGGGAGGCAGCAGUGGGGAAUAUUGGACAAUGGGCGAAAGCCUGAUCCAGCAAUGCCGCGUGAGUGAUGAAGGCCUUAGGUUGUAAAGCUCUUUUACCCGGGAUGAUAAUGACAGUACCGGGAGAAGUAAGCCCCGGACUAACUCCGUGCCAGUAGCCGC
rnacentral:rRNA from 1 species